rnacentral:rRNA from 1 species
GAUGAGCGCUGGCGGCGUGCCUAUUACAUGCAAGCCGAGCGAACGGACGAGAAGCUUGCUUCUCUGAUGUUAGCGGCGGACGGGUGAGUAACACGUGGAUAACCUACCUAUAAGACUGGGAUAACUUCGGGAAACCGGAGCUAAUACCGGAUAAUAUUUUGAACCGCAUGGUUCAAAAGUGAAAGACGGUCUUGCUGUCACUUAUAGAUGGAUCCGCGCUGCAUUAGCUAGUUGGUAAGGUAACGGCUUACCAAGGCAACGAUGCAUAGCCGACCUGAGAGGGUGAUCGGCCACACUGGAACUGAGACACGGUCCAGACUCCUACGGGAGGCAGCAGUAGGGAAUCUUCCGCAAUGGGCGAAAGCCUGACGGAGCAACGCCGCGUGAGUGAUGAAGGUCUUCGGAUCGUAAAACUCUGUUAUUAGGGAAGAACAUAUGUGUAAGUAACUGUGCACAACUUGACGGUACCUAAUCAGAAAGCCACGGCUAACUACGUGCCAGCAGCCGCGGUAAUACGUAGGUGGCAAGCGUUAUCCGGAAUUAUUGGGCGUAAAGCGCGCGUAGGCGGUUUUUUAAGUCUGAUGUGAAAGCCCACGGCUUAACCGUGGAGGGUCAUUGGAAACUGGAAAACUUGAGUGCAGAAGAGGAAAGUGGAAUUCCAUGUGUAGCGGUGAAAUGCGCAGAGAUAUGGAGGAACACCAGUGGCGAAGGCGACUUUCUGGUCUGUAACUGACGCUGAUGUGCGAAAGCGUGGGGAUCAAACAGGAUUAGAUACCCUGGUAGUCCACGCCGUAAACGGUGAGUGCUAAGUGUUAGGGGGUUUCCGCCCCUUAGUGCUGCAGCUAACGCAUUAAGCACUCCGCCUGGGGAGUA